rnacentral:rRNA from 1 species
UUGACCUCAAAUCAGGUAGGACUACCCGCUGAACUUAAGCAUAUCAAUAAGCGGAGGAAAAGAAACUAACAAGGAUUCCCCUAGUAACUGCGAGUGAACCGGGAAAAGCUCAAAUUUUGAAUCUGGCGGUCUUUCGGCCGUCCGAGUUGUAAUCUAGAGAAG